AUACGUAGGGUGCAAGCGUUAAUCGGAAUUACUGGGCGUAAAGCGUGCGCGAGGCGGCUAUGCAAGACUGAUGUGAAAUCCCCGGGCUCAACCUGGGAACUGCAUUAGUGACUGCAUAGCUGGAGUGCGGCAGAGGGGGAUGGAAUUCCGCGUGUAGCAGUGAAAUGCGUAGAUAUGCGGAGGAACACCGAUGGCGAAGGCAAUCCCCUGGGCCUGCACUGACGCUCAUGCACGAAAGCGUGGGGAGC
rnacentral:rRNA from 1 species